GACGGAGGGUGCAAGCGUUAUUCGGAUUUAUUGGGUGUAAAGAGCAUGUAGGCGGUCGGCCAAGUCUGAUGUGAAAGCCCGGGGCUUAACCUCGGAAGGGCGUUGGAAACUGGUCGACUUGAGUUCGGGAGAGGGAAGCGGAAUUCCGGGUGUAGAGGUGAAAUUCGUAGAUAUCCGGAGGAACACCGGUGGCGAAGGCGGCUUCCUGGACCGAAACUGACGCUGAGAUGCGAAAGCGUGGGGAGCAAAC
rnacentral:rRNA from 1 species